GGCACUCAGCUCUAUCUACUUCAUUAUAAUCAGAGUCCUUCAGUAUAGCUGCAUUUAAGUAAAAGUCAUCAGUCUUAAGUCUCCUUCUAUUUCACCAUCACUAGAAGUCAUCAGUCUUAAGCCACAGCCACAAUUGGGAAAAGCCCUUUUGAGUUCUUCUUCCUCCCUAGACUAGAGAAACAAAAACAUAACACAGUACCGUACUACUGCCAUGCUUUAUUUUUUGAGUUCUAGUUUCAGUCUGUGUUUGGUGCUUGCUUAAAGUUCUUCAAUCGUCUUUUCCCUCAACCCUAAUCUGAUUUCCAUAUUCUAUCUAUUCCAUACAUACAUAUAUUUUGCGCUCAAAAAUCUUCAAAAGUUUCAGUGAUGGGCAAGCCAAGUUCACGGUCAGAUUCGUCGACCAAGGCCGAUCGCAAGUUUGAAAAGAAGCUCAAGUUUUAUUCCAAGGUUAGAGAUACUGUUGCCACCUUGACUGCCCAAAAGACUAUUGCCAAG